rnacentral:rRNA from 1 species
GAUCCUGGCUCAGGAUGAACGCUGGCGGCGUGCCUAACACAUGCAAGUCGAGCGAAGCGAUCUGAUGGAAGUUUUCGGAUGGAAGUCAGAUUGACUGAGCGGCGGACGGGUGAGUAACGCGUGGGUAACCUGCCUCAUACAGGGGGAUAACAGUUAGAAAUGGCUGCUAAUACCGCAUAAGCACACAGGACCGCAUGGCCCGGUGUGAAAAACUCCGGUGGU